AUCACAGGUCCUGUACCUUCUCCUGUAGCACAACCUGGAGUCUGACUCCUCCUGUAAACGCAGGAAGAAAUAGAAACACAGGUUCCCACAAUAUAGGAUCCGCUCAGUGGAGAUCUUCUAUAUAAUAUCCUUCUCCUCAUUAACCCGACAAGGAUGGACAUGGACAAGAUGGCAGAGAGGAUAAUAAAUCUCACCCUAGAGAUCCUCUUCUGUCUUACUGGAGAGGACUACACAGUAGUGAAGAAGACCUCUAGUGAGCGAUGUCAGGACCCUGUGUCU